UACGUAGGGUGCGAGCGUUAAUCGGAAUUACUGGGCGUAAAGCGUGCGCAGGCGGUUUUGUAAGUCAGGUGUGAAAUCCCCGGGCUCAACCUGGGAAUGGCAUUUGGGACUGCCAGGCUGGAGUGCGGCAGAGGAGACUGGAAUUCCUGGUGUAGCAGUGAAAUGCGUAGAUAUCAGGAGGAACACCGAUGGCGAAGGCAGGUCUCUGGGCUGACACUGACGCUCAUGCACGAAAGCGUGGGGAGCAAACAGG
rnacentral:rRNA from 1 species